UACGAAGGGGGCUAGCGUUGUUCGGAAUUACUGGGCGUAAAGCGUGCGCAGGCGGUUAUGAAAGACAGGCGUGAAAUCCCCGGGCUUAACCUGGGAACUGCGUUUGUGACUCCAUAACUCGAGUACGGCAGAGGGGGGUGGAAUUCCACGUGUAGCAGUGAAAUGCGUAGAGAUGUGGAGGAACACCGAUGGCGAAGGCAGCCCCCUGGGCCAGUACUGACGCUCAUGCACGAAAGCGUGGGGAGCAAACAGG
rnacentral:rRNA from 1 species